AGCGAACGCUGGCGGCAGGCCUAACACAUGCAAGUCGAACGAACCCUUCGGGGUUAGUGGCGGACGGGUGAGUAACACGUGGGAACGUGCCUUUAGGUUCGGAAUAACUCAGGGAAACUUGUGCUAAUACCGAAUGUGCCCUUCGGGGGAAAGAUUUAUCGCCUUUAGAGCGGCCCGCGUCUGAUUAGCUAGUUGGUGAGGUAUGGCUCACCAAGGCUACGAUCAGUAGCUGGUCUGGGAGGAUGACCAGCCACAUUAGGACUGAGACACGGCCCAAACUCCUACGGGAGGCAGCAGUGGGGAAUCUUGCGCAAUGGGCGAAAGCCUGACGCAGCCAUGCCGCGUGGAUGAUGAAGGUCUUAGGAUUGUAAAAUCCUUUCACCGGUGAAGAUAAUGACUGUAGCCGGAGAAGAAGCCCCGGCUAACUUCGUGCCAGCAGCCGCCGUAAUAC
rnacentral:rRNA from 1 species